GCCUAAAAUCUAGCCCGCACAUUAUCGCAUAACACCCCCUUCCCACAGUUCCAAACAAAACAUUUUCUUAUUAUAGUACAGGUGAUCGAAAAAUUUCUAAGCGCUUCAGAUAAAGUACCGCAAGGGAAAAAUGAAAUAAGAUUGAAAUAAUUUUAAAGCCUUAAAUAGCAGAGACACCCCCUCGUACCUUUUGCAUCAUGGUCUAGUUAGUCUACUCAAGCAAAAUGAAAUUUUAGUUAGACAUCCCGAAACUAAGCGAGCUACUUCAAAACAGCCUAAAGAGCUAACCCGUCUCUGUUGCAAAAGAGUGGGAAGAUUUUCAAGUAGAAGUGAAAAGCCUACCGAGCUUAGAGAUAGCUGGUUGUUCAGGAAAAGAGUCUUAGCUCUCCCUUAAGUUUCCCAAUGACUUAAAACAAACCUUAAAACUUAAGAGCUAUUCAGAUAAGGCACAGCUUAUUUGAAACAGGAUACAACCUACAAUAAUGGGUAAAUUAUAUUAAUUAAAUUGAAGUAGGCCUAAAAGCGGCCACCUUUUAAAAAGCGUUAAAGCUUGAUUAAAAUUAUUAAUAAUACCUAAAAUUCUUAUUAACCCUUUAUUUCUACUGAACUAUUUUAUAUUCUUAUAAAAGUAAUAAUGCUAGAACUAGUAACAAGAAAAAGAUUUUUCUCCUAAAUGUAAAUAUAUACCAAAAUGGACUAUCCGCUGGUAAUCAACGCAAAUGCAGAAAUUAUAGUAACCUUCUAGAAAACUCUAUAAUCCAUAACGUUAACCUUACACUAGAACAUUCCAGGAAAGAUUAAAAAAGAAAGAAGGAACUCGGCAAAUUUUAGCCUCGCCUGUUUACCAAAAACAUCGCCUCUUGAUAAAAUAUAAGAGGUCCAGCCUGCCCAGUGACAAAGUUCAACGGCCGCGGUAUCCUAACCGUGCGAAGGUAGCAUAAUCACUUGUUCUUUAAAUAGGGACUUGUAUCAACGGCACCACGAAGGCCAUACUGUCUCCUUUCUUCAAUCAGUGAAACUGAUCUCCCCGUGAAGAAGCGGGGAUUUAAAUAUAAGACGAAAAGACCCCAUGGAGCUUAAAACUCAUCAUACACCUCUAUGCCCUUACAUCAACUCACCUAAGAAAUUUGUGUGAUAGUUUUCGGUUGGGGGGACCUCGGAGUAUAAUAUAACCUCCAUAACAAAUGGGCUAACACCCUUAUCCACGAAAAACACCUCUAAGAAUUAUUAAAUUAAUGUUUAAUGACCCAAUAUUUGAUCAAUGAACCAAGUUACCCUGGGGAUAACAGCGCAAUCUACUUCAAGAGUCCCUAUCGACAAGUGGGUUUACGACCUCGAUGUUGGAUCAGGGUAUCCUAAUGGUGCAACCGCUACUAAUGGUUCGUUUGUUCAACG
rnacentral:rRNA from 1 species